rnacentral:rRNA from 1 species
GUGCACCAGUCGAGAAUUUUUCUCAAUGGGGGAAACCCUGAAGGAGCGACGCCGCGUGGAGGAUGAAGGUCUUCGGGUUGUAAACUCCUGUCAUUUGGGAACAAGUCGCUUACGUUAACUGCGUGAGCGUUGAUAGUACCAGAAGAGGAAGAGACGGCUAACUCUGUGCCAGCAGCCGCGGUAAUACAGAGGUCUCAAGCGUUGUUCGGAUUCAUUGGGCGUAAAGGGUGUGUAGGUGGCGCCGUAAGUCGGGUGUGAAAUCUCGGGGCUUAACUCCGAAACUGCAUUCGAUACUGCGGUGCUUGAGGACUGGAGAGGAGACUGGAAUUCAUGGUGUAGCAGUGAAAUGCGUAGAGAUCAUGAGGAAGACCAGUGGCGAAGGCGGGUCUCUGGACAGUUCCUGACACCGAGACACGAAGGCCAGGGGAGCAAACGGGAUUAGAUACCCGCGUAGU